CCCUCGCUGUGCGACGGGGGGGGGAGUAGGGGGGGGGGGGGGGUAAGUGUUCUUUGGAAUGACUGGGCGUAAAGGGCACGUAGGCGGUGAAUCGGGUUGAAACUGAAAGUCGCCAAAAAGUGGCGGAAUGCUCUCGAAACCAAUUCGCUCAAGUAAGACAGAGGAGCGUGGAAUUUCGUUUGUAAGGGUGAAAUCCGUAGAUCUACGAAGGAACGCCAAAAGCGAAGUGAUGCGCUUCGAUCCAUCACUAAAUUUACUUUUGAAGUGAACUUGCACGUGGGCCCACUCAACAAAAAAAAAAAGAGUGUGGGGGCGAAAUACGUUGGCCGGAAGUCCGGCCCUGCUUGUCGCCGUGGAAAGUGCAUUGCCCCGCCCCUUGCCGACUCUUUGCCCCCCCCAAAGCAUGGGGUGACAGGCCCGUGCCACCAGGCCCAGCGAGACAGGUGCACGAGCAUCCCCUUU
rnacentral:ncRNA from 1 species